CCUACGGGUGGCAGCAGUGGGGGAUAUUGCACAAUGGGGGGAACCCUGAUGCAGCGACGCCGCGUGGGUGAAGAAGCGCCUCGGCGCGUAAAGCCCUGUCAGCAGGGAAGAAAAUGACGGUACCUGAAGAAGAAGCCUCGGCUAACUACGUGCCCGCAGCCGCGGGAAUACGUAGGGGGCAAGCGUUAUCCGGAUUUACUGGGUGUAAAGGGGGCGCAGACGGCGAUGCAAGCCAGGAGUGAAAGCCCGGGGCCCAACCCCGGGACUGCCCUUGGAACUGCGUGGCGUGAGUGCAGGAGGGGCAGGCGGAAUUCCUGGUGUAGCGGUGAAAUGCGUAGAUAUCAGGAGGAACACCGGUGGCGAAGGCGGCCUGCUGGACUGCAACUGACGUUGAGGCCCGAAAGCGUGGGGAGCAAACAGGAUUAGAUACCCGGGUAGUC
rnacentral:rRNA from 1 species